rnacentral:rRNA from 1 species
ACUCAAAUGAAUUGACGGGGACUCGCACAAGCGGUGGAUCAUGUGGUUUAAUUCGAUGAUAAACGAAGAACCUUACCAGGGUUUGAAACUGAACUGAAAGCUCCAAGAAACUGGAGCCCUCGCAAGACUGUUCAGCAGGUGAUGCAUGGUCGUCGUCAGCUCGUGGCUUGAGUUGUUCCCUUAAGUGGGGAAACGAGCGAAACCCUCAUCGUGUGUUACAAGUGUCACACGAGACUGCCCAGCCCUUUGAAUGCAAACGAAAGUUUGUUAGCAAAGGGCUGGGAGGAAGGGGAGGAUGACGCCAGAUCAGCAUGUCCCUUUGAUACCCUGGGCUACACACGUGAUACAAUGGCCACUACAGUGGGAUGCAAGACAGCAAUGUGGAGCAAAUCCAUAAAAGUGGCCCCAGUUCGGAUUGGAGUCUGAAACUCGACUCCAUGAAGUUGGAAUCGCUAGUAAUCGCAGGUCAGCUAUACUGCGGUGAAUACGUUCUCGAGUCUUGUACACACCGCCCGU